GUGAACAAGACCUCAGGUCAUCCAGGCUCCUCUUCACCCUCUAGGGGUGAGAAGAGGAAGCGAUGCCAGGGGCCCUGUCUGGAGAAAGAGAAGGAGCUUCCCUGUGCCAAAAAGAGGCGACUGACAUCGGAGGAUGCGAAAGUGGUGGCGGGCCCUUCCAGAAGAGG